rnacentral:rRNA from 1 species
AGUGAACGCUGGCGGUAGGCCUAACACAUGCAAGUCGAACGGCAGCACAGUAAGAGCUUGCUCUUACGGGUGGCGAGUGGCGGACGGGUGAGGAAUACAUCGGAAUCUACUUUUUCGUGGGGGAUAACGUAGGGAAACUUACGCUAAUACCGCAUACGACCUACGGGUGAAAGCAGGGGAUCUUCGGACCUUGCGCGAUUGAAUGAGCCGAUGUCGGAUUAGCUAGUUGGCGGGGUAAAGGCCCACCAAGGCGACGAUCCGUAGCUGGUCUGAGAGGAUGGUCGGCCACACUGGAGCUGAGACACGGUCCAGACUCCUACGGGAGGCAGCAGUGGGGAAUAUUGGACAGUGGGCGCAAGCCUGAUCCAGCCAUACCGCGUGGGUGAAGAAGGCCUUCGGGUUGUAAAGCCCUUUUGUUGGGAAAGAAAAGCAGCAGGUUAAUACCCCGCUGUUCUGACGGUACCCAAAGAAUAAGCACCGGCUAACUUCGUG